CCUACGGGAGGCUGCAGUGAGGAAUAUUGGUCAAUGGGCGCAAGCCUGAACCAGCCAAGUAGCGUGAAGGAUGAAUGCCCUACGGGUUGUAAACUUCUUUUAUAAAGGAAUAAAGUGCGGCACGUGUGCCUUUUUGUAUGUACUUUAUGAAUAAGGAUCGGCUAACUCCGUGCCAGCAGCCGCGGUAAUCCGGAGGAUCCGAGCGUUAUCCGGAUUUAUUGGGUUUAAAGGGAGCGUAGAUGGGUUGUUAAGUCAGUUGUGAAAGUUUGGGGCUCAACCGUAAAAUUGCAAUUGAUACUGGCAGCCUUGAGUACAGUUGAGGUAGGCGGAAUUCGUGGUGUAGCGGUGAAAUGCUUAGAUAUUGCGAAGAACUCCGAUUGCGAAGGCAGCCUACUAAACUGCCACUGACAUUGAGGCUCGAAAGUGUGGGUAUCAAACAGGAUUAGAUACCCCUGUAGUC
rnacentral:rRNA from 1 species